AUCUAUGGCCAUAUCACCCUGAAUGUGCCUGAUCUCCUCUGAUCUUGGAGUUAAGCAGGGUCAGGCCUGGUUAGUACUUGGAUGGGAGGCUGCCUGGGAAUAAUGGGUGCUGUAGGCU
ensembl:rRNA 5S_rRNA 5S ribosomal RNA